UACGUAGGGUCCGAGCGUUGUCCGGAGUUACUGGGCGUAAAGGGCGCGCAGGCGGCGGUGCUGGCCCGGCGUGAAAGCCCCCGGCUCAACCGGGGAGGGUCGUCGGGGACCGCACCGCUUGAGGGCGGUAGGGGCUGGUGGAAUGCCUGGUGUAGUGGUGAAAUGCGUAGAGAUCAGGCGGAACACCCGUGGCUAAGGCGGCUCUCUAGUACGGUACUGACGCUGAGACGCGAAAGCGUGGGGAGCGAACAGG
rnacentral:rRNA from 1 species